UACAGAGGUCUCGAGCGUUAGGCGGAAUCACUGGGCUUAAAGCGUGUGUAGGCGGAUCGUUAAGUGCCUUGUGAAAUCCCACGGCUUAACCGUGGAACUGCUUGGCAUACUGGCGGUCUUGAGCAACCUAGGGGCGAGCGGAACAAAUGGUGGAGCGGUGAAAUGCGUAGAUAUCAUUUGGAACGCCAAUGGUGAAAACAGCUCGCUGGGGGUUUGCUGACGCUGAGGCACGAAAGCCAGGGGAGCGAACGGG
rnacentral:rRNA from 1 species